UACGUAGGGGGCAAGCGUUGUCCGGAAUCAUUGGGCGUAAAGAGCGCGUAGGCGGCCCUGUAAGUCCGCUGUGAAAGUCAAGGGCUCAACCCUUGAAUGCCGGUGGUUACUGCAGGGCUAGAGUCCGGAAGAGGCGAGUGGAAUUCCUGGUGUAGCGGUGAAAUGCGUAGAUAUCUGGAGGAACACCGGUGGCGAAGGCGGCAUCCUGGACCGGUAUUGACGCUGAUGCGCGAAAGCCAGGGGAGCAAACGGG
rnacentral:rRNA from 1 species